AGAGUUUGAUCCUGGCUCAGGACGAACGCUAGCGGCGUGCCUAAGGUAUGCAAGUCGAACGGGGAGCUUCGGCUCCUAGUGGCGAACGGUCGAGUAACACGUAGACAACCUGCCGGUAAGUGGGGGAUACCUGCUCGAAAGGGCAGCUAAUACCGCAUGUGGCGGAGCCUGGCCUCAGGCUCUUGCUAAAGGUUUACUGCUUAUCGAUGGGUCUGCGGCCUAUCAGCUAGUUGGCGGGGUAACGGCCCACCAAGGCGACGACGGGUAGCGGGUCUGAGAGGAUGAUCCGCCGGACGGGGACUGAGACACGGCCCCGACUCCUUCGGGAGGCAGCAAUGAGGAAUAUUGCGCAAUGGGGGAAACCCUGACGCAGCGACGCCGCGUGGGUGAGGAAGUCCUUCGGGAUGUAAAGCCCUUUUCUCGGGGACGAAACGGACGGUACCCGAGGAAGAAGCCCCGGCUAACUACGUGCCAGCAGCCGCGGUAAUACGUAGGGGGCAAGCGUUGUCCGGAUUUACUGGGCGUAAAGAGCGCGUAGGCGGAAGAUUAAGCGUGGCCUGAAAGCCCCCGGCUCAACCGGGGAGGGCGGCUGCGAACUGGUCUUCUUGAGGUCGAUAGAGGAGAGCGGAAUUCCUGGUGUAGCGGUGAAAUGCGUAGAUAUCAGGAGGAACACCCGUGGCGAAGGCGGCUCUCUGGGUCGGACCUGACGCUGAGGCGCGAAAGCGUGGGGAGCGAACGGGAUUAGAUACCCCAGUAGUCC
rnacentral:rRNA from 1 species